UACGUAGGGUGCAAGCGUUGUCCGGAAUUAUUGGGCGUAAAGAGCUCGUAGGCGGUUUGUCGCGUCUGCUGUGAAAACCCGAGGCUCAACCUCGGGCCUGCAGUGGGUACGGGCAGACUAGAGUGCGGUAGGGGAGAUUGGAAUUCCUGGUGUAGCGGUGGAACGCGCAGAUAUCAGGAGGAACACCAAUGGCGAAGGCAGAUCUCUGGGCCGUAACUGACGCUGAGGAGCGAAAGCAUGGGGAGCGAACAGG
rnacentral:rRNA from 1 species